GUGUUUAAACCCUAGGAGGGCUCUGAUACCAUAAAGGCAAUCUCAGAAAAGGUAUUUCAUUAAACUGUGAUCUUGGGUAUAAAUAACCCUUACAAGAUAAGAUUUGUUAUGAUACAGCUAUUGUAACAACACUUAACGUUUAUCUCUACAAAAAUACACCUCUAUCUAAUAAUUGUCACCCACAGUUGAUGUUACUUGCAAGAUGUCCAUUUGUUUAGAGAUUACCAUGUGUAAUUCAAUACUGAAUUUGCAUUUGAACUCUAAGGUGUAAGAAUAGGGCCAAUCAAAACAAAAUAUUAUUUGUCCCAUAAACUCUUCAGAUCAGAAUUAAAAAUCACCAUUGUAAUGUACAACACAAAGCUAACAUAUGUACCACACUACCACAUGCCUUAAAGUUGAAACAUACGGUUCAACAAAGAAGUUGUAUUAGCCAAAAUUGCUUUUAAUGAGUUAGAAUUCUCAGCUUAAGGCGUCAGACCACUGUUUUGGAGCUACGGCCAUUACAAAAAGAAUUCCAAAGAGAGCCAAUUCAUUGAUGCUUGAUGUUUUAGAUCAAUUUAGUAGCAAGACUAAGAACACAGUCCUAGAAUGCAAGUGACCUAGGUGGGAAAAGAUAUAUCACCUUCUGGAUUUUCCAACAAAGCAAUGAACCAAAA
rnacentral:misc_RNA from 1 species